rnacentral:rRNA from 1 species
AGAGCGAACGCUGGCGGCAGGCUUAACACAUGCAAGUCGAGCGGGCGUAGCAAUACGUCAGCGGCAGACGGGUGAGUAACGCGUGGGAACAUACCUUUUGGUUCGGAACAACACAGGGAAACUUGUGCUAAUACCGGAUACGCCCUUACGGGGAAAGAUUUAUCGCCGAAAGAUUGGCCCGCGUCUGAUUAGCUAGUUGGUGAGGUAAUGGCUCACCAAGGCGACGAUCAGUAGCUGGUCUGAGAGGAUGAUCAGCCACAUUGGGACUGAGACACGGCCCAAACUCCUACGGGAGGCAGCAGUGGGGAAUAUUGGACAAUGGGCGCAAGCCUGAUCCAGCCAUGCCGCGUGAGUGAUGAAGGCCCUAGGGUUGUAAAGCUCUUUUGUGCGGGAAGAUAAUGACGGUACCGCAAGAAUAAGCCCGGCUAACGUUCGCGCCAGCAGCCGC